AUCAUUUGGUACAACAGUGUAUAAAGAUCCAGAGGCCUCUACAUCUUCAUAAAACUUGAUAAAAUAAAAGUUGACAAUUCAAUAAAAUUGAAAAGGAAAUAUAAUGAAGGAAGUGUGGUAAUAAAAAAAUCUACAAAUAGCUAAAGUUUUCAGCAACAACAUUCUGUAUAAAUUCACAUGUGUAGCGAUCAUUUAUGGUGCUGUUCCCUUAACAACAG